rnacentral:rRNA from 1 species
ACAACAGUCAGAAAUGACUGCUAAUACCGCAUAAGCACACAAUGCUGCAUGGCAUGGUGNGAAAAGAUUUAUCGGCAUACGAUGGCCCCGCGUCUGAUUAGCCAGUUGGCAGGGUAAUGGCCUACCAAAGCAACGAUCAGUAGCCGGCUUGAGAGAGUGACCGGCCACAUUGGGACUGAGACACGGCCCAGACUCCUACGGGAGGCAGCAG